GAACGCACCUUGCGCUCCUUGGUAUUCCGAGGAGCAUGCCUGUUUGAGUGUCAUUAAAUUCUCAACCCUACAAGUUUUUUUCGAACCUGUAUGGCUUGGAUCAUGGGAACUGCGGGCUUGGAUAAAGUCGGCUUUCCUUAAAUGUAUUAGCAGAACUUUUGUUGCUAACCUCUGGUGUGAUAAUUAUCUACGCUAUUGAGAGGCGACAUGUUAAAGUACUGCUUCUAAUCGUCUGUCACGGACAACAUUUGACAAUCUGACCUCAAAUCAGGUAGGACUACCCGCUGAACUUAAG
rnacentral:misc_RNA from 1 species